UACGUAGGGGCCUAGCGUUGUCCGGAUUUAUUGGGCGUAAAGAGCGUGUAGGCGGCCAGGUAGGUCGGUUGUGAAAACUAGAGGCUCAACCUCUAGACGUCGACCGAAACCACUUGGCUAGAGUCCGGAAGAGGAGAGUGGAAUUCCCGGUGUAGCGGUGAAAUGCGCAGAUAUCGGGAAGAACACCCGUGGCGAAGGCGGCUCUCUGGGACGGUACUGACGCUGAGACGCGAAAGCGUGGGGAGCGAACAGG
rnacentral:rRNA from 1 species